rnacentral:rRNA from 1 species
UGGGGAAUAUUGGACAAUGGGCGCAAGCCUGAUCCAGCCAUACCGCGUGGGUGAAGAAGGCCUUCGGGUUGUAAAGCCCUUUUGUUGGGAAAGAAAAGCAUUCGGUUAAUACCCGAUUGUUCUGACGGUACCCAAAGAAUAAGCACCGGCUAACUUCGUGCCAGCAGCCGCGGUAAUACGAAGGGUGCAAGCGUUACUCGGAAUUACUGGGCGUAAAGCGUGCGUAGGUGGUUGUUUAAGUCUGUCGUGAAAGCCCUGGGCUCAACCUGGGAAUUGCGAUGGAAACUGGGCGACUAGAGUGUGGCAGAGGGUAGUGGAAUUCCUGGUGUAGCAGUGAAAUGCGUAGAGAUCAGGAGGAACAUCCGUGGCGAAGGCGACUGCCUGGGCCAACACUGACACUGAGGCACGAAAGCGUGGGGAGCAAACAGGAUUAGAUACCCUGGUAGUCCACGCCCUAAACGAUGCGAACUGGAUGUUGGGUGCAAUUUUGGCACGCAGUAUCGAAGCUAACGCGUUAAGUUCGCCGCCUGGGGAGUACGGUCGCAAGACUGAAACUCAAAGGAAUUGAC